rnacentral:lncRNA from 1 species
UGCAGAUCAGAAACCAAGAAGGAGGUGGUUAGAGAUGAUCUGCAAGAGGCUGGAAAGGAGGAGGGUACUAAUCAGAACUAUGUGAGGGUGACUCUGUGAUCCUGACUCAGGAUAUCUUGAAGGGUAUCACUGUAUCUGCUGUUUGUAGCUGCUCCUACCUGUAGAAUCUGAAGACUUUGCCCCUGACCUGGGAAUAUUCUGGACCAGAACAAGUCUGCUCUCUGUCCAGGUUAAG